rnacentral:rRNA from 1 species
UGGCACCUUCGGUGUCCGAGUUGUAAUUUGAAGAAGGUAACUUUGGAGUUGGCUCUUGUCUAUGUUCCUUGGAACAGGACGUCACAGAGGGUGAGAAUCCCGUGCGAUGAGAUGCCCAAUUCUAUGUAAAGUGCUUUCGAAGAGUCGAGUUGUUUGGGAAUGCAGCUCUAAGUGGGUGGUAAAUUCCAUCUAAAGCUAAAUAUUGGCGAGAGACCGAUAGCGAACAAGUACAGUGAUGGAAAGAUGAAAAGAACUUUGAAAAGAGAGUGAAAAAGUACGUGAAAUUGUUGAAAGGGAAGGGCUUGAGAUCAGACUUGGUAUUUUGCGAUCCUUUCCUUCUUGGUUGGGUUCCUCGCAGCUUACUGGGCCAGCAUCGGUUUGGAUGGUAGGAUAAUGACUAAGGAAUGUGGCUCUACUUCGGUGGAGUGUUAUAGCCUUGGUUGAUACUGCCUGUCUAGACCGAGGACUGC